rnacentral:rRNA from 1 species
UACGGAGGAUCCGAGCGUUAUCCGGAUUUAUUGGGUUUAAAGGGUGCGCAGGCGGGAGAUUAAGUCGGCGGUGAAAUUUUGCAGCUCAACUGUAAAAGUGCCUUCGAAACUGGUUUCCUUGAGUGUAGAUGAAGUAGGCGGAAUUUGUGGUGUAGCGGUGAAAUGCUUAGAUAUCACGAGGAACUCCGAUUGCGAAGGCAGCUUACUAAACUACUACUGACGCUCAGGCACGAAGGCGUGGGGAUCAAACAGGAUUAGAUACCCGGGUAGUCCCUGA